AUUCCUCUACAACAGACUGUUCCAGCAAAAGAGAUGUAGCAAACUCUGCAACAAAAGAGGUGGCAGCAAGCUGCUUCAACAAAAACACAGAGUCAACAAAAACAAAGAUACCCUUUUCAAUAAAAUAAAAUAUAAUUUUGCAUCAGAAGGUAAAUUAGGUUUUAAUUAGGUUCUAAGUAUAAAUUUAUUACAAAAAAAAAGCUGAAUUAGGUUCUUCAAACAACCCCAACUCUGCAUAUUCUUAUUAUGAUGAGAAGACGGACCUCCUCUAUGUUGUAAAAAGGGACAUUUUUUCCAUUGUUGACUAUCUUCCAACUAGAAAACCGUUCAAUAACAAAUUUUGGGUUGUUUGAUAGAAUUUCAUCAAAAAGAAAGCAUGGAAAACAAAAUGCAAUAUCUUUUACCUCAUAGUACUCAAGCCAUGGAAAUUUUUUAAACCAGUGAUACUGAAACCCACGUUCUUGCAUAGGGAUGGCAAAACAUCGGGUCGGGCUCGGGCUUGGCCAAACCCGACCCGAUCAACAAAAAAUUAAAACCCAACCCUAAAAAAGCCCGACCCGAAUUGGGCCAACAUAGCCCGACCCGAUCGAAACCAUUUCCCACCCACAAUUCAAUUCUCAUUUCCCACCCUCUAAUCCUUCAUCUCUAAAAUCUACUUCACUCCUGCUACGUUACUGUUGCUUCUACUACUGCUAACCCUAACAACCUACAUUAUUUGCUCUCUUUCAACAAAUUAACUAAUCAAUUUUUUAAUUAGGUUUUCUCGUUACAUUAUUUAUAGAAUUAAUUGAUUUAACUUAGAUCUGUGCAAAACAAACAGCAUGCAAAAUGAAGACAGAAUAAAAAUCAUACCAAGGGCUUUCAAAAAAUGACGGUGAGGAAGAUAGCAAGAUGAGGACAGAAAACGAUGGCGAGGAACACGAUGGAGAAGAAGACGAUGGCGAUACCACAAAAUGCACCUACCCACUCAAUUUCUCAACGCAAUCGGUAACCAAUACGUUGGGAAGACGAUGGCAAGAUGACGAUGGUUGAUUUUGGUAAGAUGAUGGCAAAAAGAAAGUCAAUAUAAGAGGGUAAGACGAUGGCAAGAUGACGACGGCCGAGAUUUUAGCCUUACCCUAAACUCUCUGUAUGUUUGUGAGUUGUAUGUGUUGAUACUUAUAAAAAAUUAGGGAUUGAAGAAGUGAAACUCAGCACCAAAACGGUGCGUUUCAUUUUUUUAAUUUUAUUUUAUAAUAAAAAGUUUUAAAAAUAUAAUAUUUUAUAUUUAUGUACAAAACGUCGUCGUUCCAACUUCGCUAAAACGACGACGUCUCUUCCUUCGUGUAAUAUUGGAAUUAAGUAUUUUAUAAGGUCAAUGAAGCAGUGGCACUCCUCUAAUGUUGAAAAAUUGGCACUCUAUUUAAUCCCAAACCCUUCAAAGUAACAAGUUCUCUGGUUAUUUAAAAAAAAAAAAGUGUACAAUGCUUAUGUGUGGGUUUAUAUGUGGGUAAAGAGUUUUGUUUUAUUGGUUUUUUUUUCCUCAAGAAAAGCAUAGAGGUUUAUUUAAAUUUAAAUUUUGUCUUUUAUUGUAAUUACAAGAAUAAAAAAUUUUAUAAGAUCAAUGAAGGGUGGCAGUAGUCCCACUCUUAUUAUUAUUAUUAUUAUUAUUAUUGUAGUUUCGAAUAUUGCCAAUUAUUGUUACUGAACGCAAAUGCCUAUCAGCAUUUAUUUAUAUUCAUCGUGGUUUUUUUUUGUGGUAUUCAAUAUAAAAUUAUAGAAUUGUUAAUAAUAAAGUAUUUAACUUUCUUGUAGCACACAAAGCGUAAUUUCAAUUGCUGAAAUUUGGGUUCAAAGCAUGGCAGUAGAGUAUUUUUUUAUUGUCUCCCAUCAAUGAUAAAAUUGGAGACUAAGGGCUCAUUUGAGAUUAUUUUUGGGAGACUUAAAAGUGAUUAUGAAAAUCUAAAAGGUAAUUUUGGUAUUUGGUAAACUUUUUAAAAAAUCAUUUUUGCCAAAAUUGCGUAUCUUGUUUCGCACUUUGUUUGCAAGAAUAUUUAAAAGCUCUUUUUGAAUGUCAGACGAUGUAUACUUAGCAUAUGAUGGAGCAUUUUCCAAGACAACUUGAGCAAUUUCUUUACUACACUCCGCUGAAUGCUUUAUCAACUCUAUGAAAUUUCCCCGAUUUUUUGAAUUAACUGAUUCAUCAUGACCUCUAAAAACACAUGCUUUCUUUGCUAACCAUUUAACAGCAAUAAUUGAGGUCUUCAAUCGUAGCCUAUUCUCCAAAAGUUGUUGUGAAGUUUGGGCAUGAAUUAAUCAAUCAAUGUGUUGAAUUAGGUUCUUCAAACAACCCCAACUCUGCAUAUUCUUAUUAUGAUGAGAAGACGGACCUCCUCUAUGUUGUAAAAAGGGACAUUUUUUCCAUUGUUGACUAUCUUCCAACUAGAAAACCGUUCAAUAACAAAUUUUGGGUUGUUUGAUAGAAUUUCAUCAAAAAGAAAGCAUGGAAAACAAAAUGCAAUAUCUUUUACCUCAUAGUACUCAAGCCAUGGAAAUUUUUUAAACCAGUGAUACUGAAACCCACGUUCUUGCAUAGGGAUGGCAAAACAUCGGGUCGGGCUCGGGCUUGGCCAAACCCGACCCGAUCAACAAAAAAUUAAAACCCAACCCUAAAAAAGCCCGACCCGAAUUGGGCCAACAUAGCCCGACCCGAUCGAAACCAUUUCCCACCCACAAUUCAAUUCUCAUUUCCCACCCACAAUUCAACCGUGUACAUUGGCUGUUGGCUGGCAGGCGGACGCGGCAGGACAGCGACAAAGGGCGGCUGGUUCAAGUUCACGUCGCGGCGUCGCAGACGGUCACGAUGACUGAUUGGUGAGACAAGCGAUAGCAAGACACGCGACGGCGAGACACGCGACGAUGAGACGACAACUGAUUGGCUGGCGUACAGCGGACGGUCACAAUGUUGGCUGAUAGGACGGCGACGGGCUGGGUGGCUGGCUUAGGGUUUUUGUGAAUUUGUGUAAGUGUAUUUUGUGUAUGUGACUUACGAUUUAGAGAGAGUGAACUAUCAUGUGUUGUGUGCGUGUGUUGUGUGAUGUAGAUGAGAUCUGUGUACUGUGUUGUGUGCGUGUGUGAAUUGUGAUGUGUGCGUUAGUUUUUUUUUUUUUAAAUAGGGUCGGGUCGGGUCGGGUUGGCUUUAAGCCCGACCUUGACCCUAAAUUUGUUCGGGCCUUAAAAUUUUGACCCGAACCCGACCCGAAACCCAAAAAUUCGGGCCAAAGCCCUAAAAUUUAGGGUUGGGUCAAUCGGUCUAAAAAUAAGGUUGGACUAAAUUGCCAAGCCUUGUACAAAACGUCGUCGUUCCAACUUCGCUAAAACGACGACGUCUCUUCCUUCGUGUAAUAUUUUAUUUUAAAUAACACCAAAAGUUUCGGUAAAAAACGCGCCAAAAUUAAGUCAACGUUAAAUUUCUAUUCAGACUUAUUGACGUUUAAAUUUAUAUCACAAAGACAUCAUAUAUUCUUGACUGACUCUUUUUCUAUCACGAGUCCAUCACAAAUCCAUCAUGAAUAUAUGAUAACCAAAAAUAUAUCACAACUAUAUCAUGCUUUUAUGACCCAUGUUUUACUAUAUUAUUCACUCAUUCUUUCAUGCCAUCAUUAUUUUAUAAUUCCAAGAAGAUGAAUCAACACCUUUCACAGUUCCACUUUAUAUGCUAUCAUCACUAUUUGUCAUAUUAUAAUAUUCUAGUCUAUUAUCACAUUCUAUUAUUUUAUAAUUUUAAAAAGAUGAAUCACAAUUCACAAAAUCAACAACUUCCAGUCUUCCACAAUUCCACUUCGUGUGCCAACCAUCAUUAUCAUAAAAUCAUAUUCUAUUCAGUAAACUAAAUUUUAAAAGGCAAAGUGCUUUGUACCAGGGGCCGCAUCAAGAGACUGGGCAUUCGGCGUCGGCUCGGCAGUGAGGCCUGCGGGUGCGGGCCUUGCGGCAGUGGCUCAGCGUCACUCAUGAGGCAACGGUUGGACGUCAAUUCGAGCGCAGGAGACUGGGUAUUCAGCAGCGGUAAGAGACUUGAGCAAUUGAAUUUUGGUGAAUUUCAAAUUCAGAUUUAGUUAGAUACUGGUGAGUUUUAUGAAUUGUGAUUUGGGGAAAAUAAAGAUUCCUAUAAUUAUUAGGUUUGUUUUUAUUUUUUUAUAAAUAUUAAUAAAAGUAAAUUUAUAAAUUUUAAUUUUUUUUUCAAAAAGCUUAGCCUUCCCUGAGCUUCACCUCUGUUUACGUGGUUCGGCGCCUAUGUCCACGGGAGAAGAUGAGAGGAAAUAUUUUACUAAUUGUGUAGAGUUUACAAGUAUUGUAGUAAUUUUAUCUCACAACUCAUAACCUCAAUACACCCAAACUCUCAAAUUAAGAAUUUAAACCUCUCAAAAAACUUUCUCAAUUGAUGCAUCUUCC
rnacentral:lncRNA from 1 species